GAGCCGCUCCGAGGGGCCCACCCGCGAGCAGCGGGGAAGGCGGGGACCCGGGCCCCGCGGGCCUGCAGCGCCCCCGCACCCGGUUCCACGCGCCCAGGGCCGCCCCCGCGGAGAGAGGGGGCGCGAGGGGCGCGCCUCUCGCUCGGACACCCUCUCCCAGCUCGCGCCCCAGGUAACUUAAACCCAAUUAUAAAUGGCUUUGGCUAUAAAGUGUUCUUGAAUGAAAACGUUUAGGAAGUAGGCCUGGAUUCAGAUGCUUCAGAGGCUCAAAGGAAACAGGAAUCGUGGCUAACCAAAUCCAGCCCAACUGCUUCCUUGUUCACAUGGGGAAAUCGAGGAAGGCCCGGGGAGAGGAAGGCCUGGGGAGAGGAAGUUACUUGCCCAAGUUGCCCAGUUAAUUAGCCACAGAACCCAUGUCCCCCAACUCUGAAACAAGUUCCAGUUAAAGUCUUCACUGAUAACUUUAAAUCCUCCACUAACCAAGGGAGUCAUCUUUGCAUUUGCACAGAGGAGAUGGGAAAAUCACAAAGCCCUUAAGGUCCAGAAGAAAUGAGUGUCACUACGUUGGGCUCCCAGGCUGUGCAACAAGCUGUGGACGGAGAUGUCCGGGCAGGGAGCCCGGUCCAGCUCCCCACCCAUCGCAUCAUGGAGUCAGCCGUCUCCUCUGGGGACUGCACCCUCUGGGUGCUGAGAAAUCCAAAUGGCUCUUUCUCAUGCAGCCGCCCCAAGUGGGCAGGAUGGCCCUUCUCUUGAUUUGUUUCCUGCUUACUUUGUGAGAGUCAAAGUGCAUCCUUCAGGACCAAAGUGGCCAAGGGGCCAGCAUGUUAUUUAGAGUGAUCAAAAUGGACCAUUUUCAACUUGGCCCUAUUUCAGCUCCAGAGCUGUGGUUUCCACUUGCUUUUACUUAUCUGUAUUUUCUAACAUUUCUUUAGCAAAUUUGUAUUACUUUGGCAAUUAGAAAAAAUGACCAGUAAUUUUUAUAAAAGGAUUUGUGUUUGAUUUCCUUUCAGAAAGGCACUUUCAUUUAUUAAAAGAUCACAAUGAGAAGUGAAAUUAAGUUGAUCUUUCUCUCUGGCAAGGAUGUGUGGGGAGGAAUGGGGAGGUGAAUGCUGGGAGCAGAAGCCACAGCUGCAGAGCACUGCAGUGAGUGAAGGCUAGAUCAGGAGACUGGACCAGGAGGCUGGACCAAUUGGCUCUGUGGUCCUAGGCAAGUCACUCAGUGUCUCUGGGUUUCUAUUGCUAGAUGUUUGGUUUCAUUAUUUCUGGAGUUCUUUCCAGGAAUUCUCUGUAUGGAUACAGUCUUUGAGCUUUAGUGAACGUUCAUAUACGCUGUAGGAGAACAUGUAAUGGCUCAGAAAUGUGUUCAGCAUAAAUUCUGUUUGUCUUUGCGGUCCUGUGAGACUGCUGAAAGUUCUGCUCAGCUUCUCUGCUUCUUAGCAUUUGGUUUCUUCUCAGCUUCUCAGUCUCUCCGUUUAGCUCUUUAUGAAUUGGCAAAUUCAUGGAAAAGAGCACAUAGAAUGUCAGGCCCCUGCUCCAUUCAUUUCUCUUCACCCUGAGAUCUUGAUCCCUCAAGUUCUGGCUUCCUGGAUAGCUCUUUCGUGCCUUCUAACAGAUUUUUAUUUUCUUUGAACAAUUCUACCCAGGUUUUCUAAUUGUUUAUGGAGAAGAUUGAUCUUCACAAGCUAGUUUUUUCAUAGGCAAAAGCAAAAGUCUCUUCCUGUGUUAUUAAGUGAAAAUGGCUGAUUAUAAAAAGGCCCUGGGUCAGGAGGUUGCCGAUUCCAGGAAGAAUCAGACCUUAUCCCUGCCCUUGAGUCUCAAGAAGAGGAAAGGAAAACAAAUAAGCAUAGUACAGUGUGAAAAGUGGGACUGUGGUCAAAUUUCAGUCUGCAAACUCAGGUGAGUGAGAACGGUAACUUUCCUGGUAAGUGAACUCAGUCUCUG
rnacentral:lncRNA from 1 species